UGAGUGAAGAAGGGCAAUGCCGCUUGUAAAGCUCUUUCAUCGAGUGCGCGAUCAUGACAAGACUCGAGGAAGAAGCCCCGGCUAACUCCAUGCCAGCAGCCGCGGUAAGACGGGGGGGC
rnacentral:rRNA from 1 species